CCUACGGGAGGCUGCAGUGGGGAAUAUUGCACAAUGGGGGAAACCCUGAUGCAGCAACGCCGCGUGAGUGAUGACGGCCUUCGGGUUGUAAAGCUCUGUCUUCAUGGAAGUUAAUGACGGUACCUGAGGAGGAAGCCACGGCUCACUACGUGCCAGAAGCCGCGGUAAUAUGUAGGUUGCGAGCGUUGUCCGGAUUUACUGGGCGUAAAGGGAGCGUAGGCGGACUUUUAAGUGAGAUGUGAAAUACUUGGGCUCAACUUGAGUACUGCAUUUCAAACUGGAAGUCUUGAGUGCAGUAGAGGAGGAGGGAAGUCGUGGUGUAGCGGUGAAAUGCGUAGAGAUUAGGAAGAACACCAGUGGCGAAGGCGACUCUCUGGACUGUAACUGACGCUGAGGCUCGAAAGCGUGGGUAGCAAACAGGAUUAGAUACCCUUGUAGUC
rnacentral:rRNA from 1 species